rnacentral:piRNA from 1 species
UAGGAUUCCAUACAUCCUUAGGAUAAGGU